AAAAAAGGUAAGCUACUAAGAGCGAAUGGUGGAUGCCUUGACUGGUAAAGGCGAUGAAGGACGUACUAGACUGCGAUAAGCUACGGGGAGCUGUCAAGAAGCUUUGAUCCGUAGAUUUCCGAAUGGGGCAACCCAAUGUAUAGAGAUAUACAUUACCUAUAUAGGAGCGAACGAGGGGAAUUGAAACAUCUUAGUACCCUCAGGAAAAGAAAUCAAUAGAGAUUGCGUCAGUAGCGGCGAGCGAAAGCGCAAGAGGGCAAACCCAGUGCUUGCACUGGGGGUUGUAGGACUGCAAUGUGCAAGAGCUGAGUUUAGCAGAACAUUCUGGAAAGUAUAGCCAUAGAGGGUGAUAGUCCCGUAUGCGAAAAACAAAGCUUAGCUAGCAGUAUCCUGAGUAGGGCGGGACACGAGGAAUCCUGUCUGAAUCCGGGUCGACCACGAUCCAACCCUAAAUACUAAUACCAGAUCGAUAGUGCACAAGUACCGUGAGGGAAAGGUGAAAAGAACUGAGGUGAUCAGAGUGAAAUAGAACCUGAAACCAUUUGCUUACAAUCAUUCAGAGCACUAUGUAGCAAUACAGUGUGAUGGACUGCCUUUUGCAUAAUGAGCCUGCGAGUUGUGGUGUCUGGCAAGGUUAAGCAAACGCGAAGCCGUAGCGAAAGCGAGUCUGAAUAGGGCGCUUAGUCAGAUGCUGCAGACCCGAAACGAAGUGAUCUAUCCAUGAGCAAGUUGAAGCUAGUGUAAGAACUAGUGGAGGACUGAACCCAUAGGCGUUGAAAAGCCCCGGGAUGACUCGUGGAUAGGGGUGAAAGGCCAAUCAAACUUCGUGAUAGCUGGUUCUCUCCGAAAUAUAUUUAGGUAUAGCGUUGUGUCGUAAUAUAAGGGGGUAGAGCACUGAAUGGGCUAGGGCAUACACCAAUGUACCAAACCCUAUCAAACUCCGAAUACCUUAUAUGUAAUCACAGCAGUCAGGCGGCGAGUGAUAAAAUCCGUCGUCAAGAGGGAAACAACCCAGACUACCAGCUAAGGUCCCUAAAUCUUACUUAAGUGGAAAACGAUGUGAAGUUACUUAAACAACCAGGAGGUUGGCUUAGAAGCAGCCAUCCUUUAAAGAAAGCGUAAUAGCUCACUGGUCUAGUGAUUUUGCGCGGAAAAUAUAACGG
rnacentral:rRNA from 1 species